ensembl:lncRNA
GGCGGCUGCCAUGUUCUGAAGAGACCCGCGCAGGCCUAGGGAGAGGUGAUGUAGUGAGGAACUGAGGCCCCACAGGUGAACUUGGGAGCUGAUCCUCCAGCCCAAGGCAAGACUUUACGUGGCUGCAGCCUGGCUGACAGUCUUGAGUGCAACCUCGUGAGAGACUCUGAGCCAGAAUCACCCAACCAAGCUGCUACUGGUUCCUGAUUUGCAGGAGCUUUGAGACGAUAAAUGUUUUGCCGUUUUAAGCCACUAAAGUUUGGGGUGCUUUGUUAUGCAGCAAUAGAUAAAAAAUAUGCCAAAUAAAUGAGCUUUUUUCCCCAGCUUCUUCAUUGCCUGCUCACUUCUCAAAAAUGGAAUAAAUGCUGAACAUGCUGACUUUCCCCACCAUUCCUGUAAAUAAGGAUGUGACUCACAAACCCUGCAAUCUCCAGAAUGCCAUAGAUACUACGGUGAUUUGAUUAUUUAAAAAUAGCUGGAAAAAAGCAAGAAAUUGGUCAUGGCCCCCUGGCACAUAGCUGUGCAUUUUUCAGUUGUGGGUCCUUCUAGUUGUGGCAUGUGGGAUGCCGCCUCAGCAUGGCCUGAUGAGCAGUGCCAUGUCCGUGCCCAGGACUCGAACUGGCGAAACCCUGGGCCACCGAAGCAGAGCCUGUGAAUCCAACCACUCGGCCAUGGGGCCGGCCCUAAGAGUUGGAACCCUGCGAAUGUCAUCAUCACUGCUCUAUGGACUAUAGUUGAGUUAAUGUACAAAACAGAAUGAGGGUUGACUGGAAUCAUUCGAAGAAAGAACUUUGGAUGCAGCAGAGAGACUGAGGCUGAAUGGGAGAAAGAUGAGGGGAGCUGAGACAGCUGGUCACUUUCAGCUCUACGUUCUUGAAGAAGAUUCUUAGAUAACCAAGAAGAAAAGAAACUGGCCUAGAGCUCAGAGAAGGCCGAAGUGGUAAGAGAGAAAAAGAGCUGUCGUCACUGAAUUCCUUGAGAAAAAUCUGUUAAGAAGAGGCUUGAGACCUCAAAAGCCAGAGGCAUCCAUGGGUCAGAAUGAGCUUCAACUAAAAGGAGGAUUUGCUUAAUUAAUUAAACAUUAAUGCCAUGCUCUUUCUUACACUGAGCUUUCAUUCAUGCUGUUCUCUCCGCCUGGAAUGCCUUCUCUCUCCGCCUUCACCUGGUUAACUCCUAUCAAUUAUUACGUCUCUGCCUCACUGCUGCUUCCUCCCAGAAGACUCCUUUGACCUCUGGAGACUGGGUCUGGUGCCUUCCCUGGUGGUCUUAUCUCAUCCUAUUUUAGAACUUACUGUAUUGAUUGACAUUGCUUUCUGACAUGCCUGUCUUCGUGAAUGAGCUGGGAGCUCCUUGAUGACAAUGGUUGUGUCUCGUUUAGAGUUGUUUCUUCAGAAUAUAACUUGGUGCCUGGCAUGUGGUAGGAGUUUAAGAGAUAUUUGCUAGCCGAAAGAAGGGAUGAAAGGACGAAUGAGGCCCCUACUCUUGCUCUGUCAAAUGGGCUGGGUGUUUGGUGGUGGGGCAUCAGGAAGGAAGAGGUAGGUGUGGGGGUAAGCCAAAGGAGCUGGACACUAUUCCUGGCCUCAGAGAACCUGAUAACAUCUGUGACUCGUGGUGUAAUACAAGGCAGGUGACACAGUACAGUCCUAUAGCACAAGAUGGGAGAGUCGGGGUACCAGAUUUAGUAAAUAAAAAUACAGGGUGCCCAGUUAAAUGUGAAUUUCAGAUAAGCAGCGAAUAGUACAUAUUGUCUCAUGGAAUAUUUAG